CGCGGCGUGCUACGGUUCCGGCCAGGGGGCCACGCCGGGGCCGGGCGAGCGCCGGCAGCCGAGCUGGACGAGGCGCCGCGGGAGGGCUGCUGGGCGCAGUUGCCUCUCGAUCUUCUGCGUAUGAUUAAUACCAUGGGAGUGAUAUAGAGAUGGUUCUACCAAUCAUGGUUGGAGGUUACACAGACUUCUUUUGUUCUAUGCUCCAUACAAGGAAUUGUGGAUUCAUCUUCCGAGGGUCGUAGACUCCGAUCAAUCCAAAUUGAUAUGUGUUUUCUUGGUCAAUCAUGGUUGGAUUCAUCUUCCGAGGAUCUAGACUCCACUAAGACUGUCCUUUGACAAGCUGGAGGGUGUUGAGGUUGCAUGGAGUCAGUCAAGGAUCAACGACUCUGUCAUGGUUUGCUCAUAGAAUAUGGAGCAGCUAAGCACAGAGAUCCAACUGCUGAGGACCUUCAGGCACAAGAACAUUGUCAAGCUGUUUGCCUCUUGGAUCGAUGAGGACAAGGACAUUGUAAAUAUCAUCAUAGAGUACUUCACAUCAGGCAGCUUGAGACAGUACAUGUUGUUUCUUUCGUUCGUUCCACUUCUGAAUGUUCAUACCAAACAUCUCUCUGUGUUUCUAUUCUCAACCAAAUUGGUGACAUCAUGCAAGCUGUGGCAUCAAGUAGGAGAGUCAUUCAAACCUCCAAAGACAUGCACAACCGUUUCAUGGACUUUCUAUAACUUCUAUGAGAAGAGAGAGCAAGAUUGAUAAAAAGACUUGCCAAAAUCAAAGAGGAGCAGGGACAGAUUGAUGAGGCUGUUGGUUUGAUGUAAGAAGUUGUAAGUUUGCACCAUACUGAAUUUGGACCAGCGUACCGGAUUUGUCAAGGCUACGCUUUGAUUGAAUACGAGAAGUUUGAAGAAGUUCAGGUUGCAAUAAAAGAUCUGGAUGGAGCUGACCUUUAUAAACAAAUAAUGAGUGUUGAUUGGGCAUUUAGCAGUGGCCCUGCUAAACGCAAACAUACUCGGAAAUGGUCACCACCAAGAGCUCGUUCAAGGACCCCACCCAGGAGAAGGCACUGAUGUUUUCCCAGCACCUCGUGAACUACUUGCUAUGUGUGAUGUACAAUAAGAAGUCUAAGGAUUCGAAAUAUUACCUUGGUGUAUGUGGAUCACCUGAUUUCGAUGGUGGUUAUUAAAUUGCCUGAUGUUUCCUUAUUUGGGACUCCAAAUAUUAGCUUUGAACUCUGGUUUAAGUUGAUGAGACAUGGAGGUGCACUUAGACGCUUACCAUUAUGUUUGGCAUGUUAGUUGGAGACGAUUGUAAGUCAGUCCACGUCACGUCCG